rnacentral:rRNA from 1 species
UACGUAGGGGGCUAGCGUUGUCCGGAAUCAUUGGGCGUAAAGAGCGUGUAGGCGGUCCGGUAAGUCCGUUGUGAAAGUCAGGGGCUCAACCCUUGAAUGCCGGCGGAUACUGUCGGGCUAGAGUCCGGAAGAGGCAAGUGGAAUUCCCGGUGUAGCGGUGAAAUGCGCAGAUAUCGGGAGGAACACCUAUGGCGAAGGCAGCUUGCUGGGACGGUACUGACGCUGGAGACGCGAAAGCGUGGGGAGCAAACAGG